ensembl:snoRNA
CUGCUUUUGUGUUUCAUAAGCACUUCAAAUUCUCAUGUACAAUGUGUCUCCCUCAAACUUUGUUAUGAGGUCUGCACAUUACCCGUCUCACA